UUUUGGGGAGAGCGCAAGCAGGGGAGGGGCAGAGAGAGGGGGACAGAGGAUCCAAAGCGGGCUGACAGCAGCGAACCCGAUGCGGGGCUCGAACUCAUGCGCUGCGAGAUCGCGGCCUGAGCUGAAGUCAGACGCUCAACCGACUGAGCCACCCAGGCGCCCCUACCCCCUCCUCUUGAGGGUCACAUCCUAGGCCCUUGGGCCACUGGAGGGUCAAACUCUAGGCUCUUUCGGGGUCCGGGGCGCCCCAAAGGACAGUCUGGUGCUAAGGGCCGUGGAUGUUUUCAGAAGACUCAGGUCCCAAUUCCUGCCUUAAUUCUCACCAGCCUUGUGACUGUGGGCAAGUGACUUUACCUACCUAUGCCACAGCUUUCUUAUCUGGAAAAUGGGUGGGCACGAGACUCCUCGGGCCGGGGCCAGCAGAGCUGUGGACACAAAGGGCCAUUGUUGCGAGCGCCUCCCUCAAGCACACGCUGACCGGGGAGAUGACGCAGGGAAGGUUGCCCCAGCGACGGUUUUGGACGACAGCAGCCCCGGAUUCCCCCUGGGAAACAGGAAGUCCAUGCUGCCCAGGUCACCGCCCCGGCCACAGGAAACCAGCUGACCCCUUCCUCUCCAACACCCCCGCCCCCCACCUUGCCUGCCCUCAAGCCCAGGAAGAGAGCUGCUGUCCUGUCAACAGCCCGGCCCGGCUUCUGAGAGCAACUCUCAGAGCCGCUAGGGCCCCAAACAGCAUCUGGCCUCUCAUUUCAUGAGACGAGCGGCUGAGGCUCAGAGAGGGAAAGGGGCCUGCUCUAGGUCACACAGCACCCAGGGCUAAGCAGGGGUAGAACUCCUGGGAGCUCAGCAGCAGCCGCGUCAGCGUUAUAUAAUGAGUGUUUUCUCUGGCUUCCUGUCGGAUUGCCACCUCCACAGAACUCGUUCGGUCCUCACAACCCUAUGAACUAGAUGCCACGAUUGUUCGUAUUUUAUAGCGCACCCGAGAAACAGAGCUGUCAGAUGUCCUGCCCCAGGUCACACAGCCAGGAGGUAGUGGAGGCAGGAUUUACACCCAAGCAAUCAGAGCUGGAGACGGCCCGAUAGCAUCUGGGCCCAAUUCUCCCAGUUUUGAAGUGGGGACACUGAGGCCUGGGGCCGAGAGGGAGUGUGUCCCAGAGCACGCAUGUUAAUGGCAGGCUGGGACUGGCUGACACCUUUAUAGUUGCCCACCACCCUCUUCAUCAGCUUUACUCAUCGGACCCAGGCUUUCUUCACGGUGGCGACGGGCCCAGAUUAAAAAACCCAAAACUAUUUUUCCCAUUCUCCCUGGUGCGUUGGGAUGCUGCGUGACCCAUUCUGGCCCAUGAAAUAUAAGCAGAUUCACGGGGUGAGGCUUCCAGCAGAGUCUUUAAAGGGAGGUCACCCAACUGGUAUGGGCUUCUAGCUCUUUGCCAGUCCUUCUCUUCCUGCUCGGAGCACAGACAGGAUGCCGGCGUGGAAGCAGCCAUUUUGUGAUCAUGAGGGUCCGGUCUUCUUGGUAGGGGAGGAGGACAAUCCCUCUGUGAUUGAAGCCCCAGCCCAGUGUUUUGUCUUGUUUUGCUUUUUGAUUCUGUUCCUCGCAGCUCAGCGUAGUCCUGACUUGGGUCUAGAGGUGAAAGGACGCUGAAGAAAUAUCCAGUUCAGUGAUGUUCAAGUUUUGUGUUGCAUCUAGGCUCUGGGACACCUGCAAAACCAGUGGGAGGCAGGAAAACUGGAGGGACCCUGUGGAGAAAAGCCGUGGUUUUGUUUGGUUUUGUUUUGUUUUUUGCCUUUGCUUCUUUUCCCACUUCCGUUCUUGCUGGGACCUGCACGCCUGCCUUACACACACCUUAAUGCCUGUCCUCCUCGUAAAGGUCAAGGAGUUAAUGAUUCCUUUGGACACUUCCAGCACCACAGAUAAUCUAAGGGGUGACCGGGCAGGGUCGUCCUAAACAUUCUCCAAGACCACUGACUCCAGACACCCUGACGCCAAGACCCUGGGCUUCAGGGCUUCAGUGAAGGACACUCGGACCCCGGCCCUUGAUCGGCCCACUUCCUGGAUGCCCCACAGGACACGUGCACCAGACCACAAUCGUCAAUAAAAACCCCAGAUGCCCAGCAAAGACGAAGCUCUCUUCUCUCCUUUCUGAGUCUCCUGGACACUCAGUCCCUCUGUAUCUACUCUCUCUCUCUCUCUCUCUCUUCAGUAAACUCUGCUUUCACCUCCUGCUGGCUCACAUUUAGGCCACUCCAUCCUGUGUGAAGCUGACGGCCCUCUUGGCUGGUCCUGUGGGACCCCCUCUGGGUCUCUGGGCCUGGCCUGCUAGCAUCAAUUGAGUGUGUGUGUGUGUGUGUGUGUGUGUGUGUAUUUAUGUAUAUUUAUACAUACAUAACCCUCAAAUUUCCAGGCCCUGUGGGAGGAGGACCCCAUCUCCCUGCUUAAAAGAGAACAGCUCUUUGUCCAUUGCUAAAAUGGUGUAAAAGCCACCGUUUCAUCACAUUCUAUGUAAAGGUGGGGAAACUGAGGCUCAGCGACAAGGUGGUGGCUUCACGUUGAGGAUAAAGAGGCCCCACAGUGCUUGCGCGGAGGAGGAGGCCGGCAGCCACAGAGGGACUCCGCCACAGCCAGAGGCGUCCAGGGUUUUAGGAAUGGGAUUGAGGAUCGGGAGCACAAAAGAGAAAUGAUGUUCGGCUUUUGACUGAAUAGGAUCCUGCAGUCUUCAGCCAGAUAAUGGUCUUGAAAGCCGGGCUUUGUUGAGAGAGGGGAAGGCUUUGUGCUGUGGAGAUCACCACCGCCACGUGAUUGAUGACGGUGAUUACAAGGCCAUGAUCUACUUGGGGGACCCUCCCGGCAUGUGACAGGAGACAUCCACAGCGAUUAGUCGGGGGCUGCACAGGAGCUGCUUGCUGGCUUCCAGGCGUGUCACGGCAGUGGGUUCUGAGCCAUCACUCUUCCUACGGUGGAUGAGGAGGCCCAGAUGCGCCUGGCAAAAUGAUGUACAAGAAAGACUCAUGCGUCUUGCUCCAAUUAAGAUGUUGGAAGAGAAGAGAGUCUAAUUGUCCCACAAUUACCUUUAUUUAUCAAACUCAGAAUGAAGUGUGAUUAUGAAGUGUCUCAGGAGAAGAGUGCAGAGUUGGGGAUGGUCCAGGCCCUGCCUGGCGUCCCAGCCGCUGCGGGGGAGGAAGGACAGCCACGGCGGCACCUGCGGACAGCCUCCCCAUGGAGGAAGCCAGGUAGAUGAGCAAGGUGAGUUCUGGCUCCCGCUGUGCCACCGGAUUGCAGGGGACUUUGUCCCUUCCCGCAGCAUCUGGGACAGACCUCCAGCAGAUUUUCCAUAAACGUUUGUUGAAUCGGUGGGUGACAGGUAAGGUGACUUAGGCUCAUGAGGGUUCAGUAAUUUACCCGAGGACACACAGUCAAUAAUUCUCAGAGCCACAAGUCAGUGUGUUUGGCCGAGUGGAGUUCAAGUGCUUUGAAACACAGGACCAAGGAUAAGCCGAAGACGUUGGUUUAUCAUUGCACGGUCACACACCCACAAUAGACCGAGGACCACUUGGAUGCAUCAGAAUAAACGUUCAGAAAGAAAAGAAUGAACGAACUGAUUAUAUGCCAGGCGCUGUUUUAUGCACCAGUGCUGCAGGUGUCCGUGAAACACCAUCUCUAAUUUCAAGAAACAGUCUAGUGGGGAGACAGAGCUGGCAAGGCAGUGUGACAUGUGCGGUAAAUGCAGAAUGUCCGGGUCCCGCAGGUGGUUGGACCAGGGUGGGGGGCCAGGAAGAAUUUCCUGGAGUGUUUGACAUUUGGGAGCAGUCUCAAAGGAUGAGGGAGGGAUGGGAUAGAUAAGCCAAGGAGAAAAGCCUGUGCAAAGGCCCUGGGGGUGAAAAGGUUGACCCUGCCGGGCUGACCUGUCUGUGUGCAGGUGGGCACCGGAAGCUGUGGGAUGGGAAGUGGUGACCCUGGGCUGGCCCCGGCCCUGCCUGCUGGGCCAGUCAUCCACUCUGAACUUGCAGACUCCGGAGGCCCCCGGCUGCUGCCACACCCUGCCAGCUCCCGUGGCACGAGAGAGGAGGAGGAAGCAAUCUUAGUUUGCUCAGUUUCCUGUGGUCCUUCCGUAAUCCCUGUGCUGGCUCCAAGGAGCAAUGGCUCAAGAUAGCUUUGCACAGCAGGAUGGAUGGCGGGCCACAGACGGGCUCUUCCGACCUGGGGCUCCUUUUGUAUCCGUGUGUUGGCUGCUGCCUGGCCACAGCCCGUGCAUGCCCAGCUGUGGCCGAGUGGGCAAGAACCGAGGGGGGCUGGCAUUUGUAGAGGACGGACUAGGAGCUACACACAGUCCUGGGGGCUUUCACACAUGGUCUUCUCACCGACUCCUCAUUGCAGCCUAGAGGUGGCGCUGUUAUCCCCAUUUUUAGAUGUAGAUGAGAAGGCAAAUGCUCAGGGGGGUUAGGAAGCGGGGCCAACGUUUGGACCAAGAUUGUCUUGGUCCACUGUGUCAGGACCAGCCAAGCAACUAAAGGCAAAUGUUGGUCCUACCGGUAGGUCCAGGGUGUGUGAAAUAGGGAGUGGGCAUGAGAGCCUGAGGGAAAGUGCUGGAAAAGUUCAGUUCUCCUCAGCUAAUUCUGACUUUGAGUGCCUUGAGUGGCCCUUCAUAGGAAGACAAUAACACUGCUGAUGGUCCUUUAUAUUUUAAUACACUGUAUAUCCAUACAUGUACUCAUCCAACUCUCCAUCUCCAUGUCCAUCCAUCCAUCCACCCGUCCUCCCAUCCAUCCAUCCAUCUAUCUAUCCAUCCAUCCAUC